rnacentral:tRNA from 1 species
GCCCAUAUAGCUCAGAGGUAGAGCACUUCCUUGGUAAGGAAGAGGUCUCCGGUUCAAGUCCGGAUAUGGGCUCCA